rnacentral:rRNA from 1 species
CAGCAGCCACGGGAAUACAGAGGGUGCGAGCGUUAAUCGGAUUUACUGGGCGUAAAGCGCACGCAGGCGGUCUGUCAAGUCAGAUGUGAAAUCCCCGGGCUUAACCUGGGAACUGCAUUUGAAACUGGCAGGCUAGAGUCUUGUAGAGGGGGGUAGAAUUCCAGGUGUAGCGGUGAAAUGCGUAGAGAUCUGGAGGAAUACCGGUGGCGAAGGCGGCCCCCUGGACAAAGACUGACGCUCAGGUGCGAAAGCGUGGGGAGCAAACAGGAUUAGAUACCCCGGUAGUCCCUGUCUCUUAUAA